UACAUUUGUUUGUCAGCGUCAAGAGAGCUUUAAAGACAUCCAAAACCAAAUAUCCUCAUUUAACCUGAUUGUAUAAAAGGCUUGGACAUUUAUGGGUGCUUAUCACUUUAAUACUCACAUUAUCAGGCCGUAGGAGAUGACGUAUAUUUACUGCGCUAGCAUUUGCCAUUGUGUGUGGGUGAAAGGAGCGAGUGCUAAUGCUAAGGUGUAUCGUGAUGUGGUUAAGUUCACUCACCUGUAACGACCCAUAAGUCUUUUUUGAGCAUCCUUAUUUUGCCUGUGUGGUCCAGUGGUAUUCCCAGUAUUGAGUCAAUGACGAGAAACUGAUGACAGUACUGGUGUUGAACUGCCGAUAAACACGGCUGGACCACAGCACAGUUCAGAGAAGCAAUUACGUCUCCUCAUCCUCAUUCCUGUAUCCUGACCGAUACACCAUCCUGUUUACUGUCAAACCCUAAACGAGCUAGCCCUGCCUAAUUAGCUCUCUAACACUGAUCUUAGUAAAUAGAUCACAGUAGCUCUCUAAUUGUAAUUUUGUAUCCACAAUCUUUCAAUAAUCCAAUGACAACCCCCAAAAAACCCGCACAGUGUGAAACCAGCCUCCAGGAAGUCCUGUAUGUUUCAGAGCCGCUAACAUCUGUUGAUCUGCGGGCUGCGGUGGGCCGUUUAGCAGGCCAGGCCACCGGGAAGAGUCCCGCUGCUAGUCCGGGCCUGCCAUGACCCUCUUCUGGAGCAAGCCCUGAGAGGGACCUGGAGGCCACACCAGCACCGAUCUGACCCAGUCAAACUUUACCCACAAAAGCAACAUGGGGUUGCUGCCAUGCUGGCUCACUGGGGUUUGUUGCAUUGCCAGUCAGAUGGUGGAUGAAGGUAAAGGUCUUGGUGUUCAGACCCCAGACCACCUUCAUAUUCACUUGAAUGAGAAAGUGUGUCCAAACUUUUGACUGGUACUGCAGGUCUGCUGGUCUCAUUGAACCAUGACGUUUGCAAGUACUGGCUUGAUUUCUAAAUGUCCGGUGACACGGUUCCACCAGCAACACAGACACACAAACAAGUGAUGUAUGUUUUUUUAAGUGAUGUACUUAUUUUGAGGAUCUCAGAAUUCAAAGAAUUUAUUAAGUUUUAGUUUUUAUCCUGAGAACUUUUGAUCACAGUAUGUUGAAUUAUUUGAUACUGUACAGCAGCAGCUGUGUGUGUCCAAGGCAAAUUUCCCUCUGAGACAAUAAAGACUUAUCUUAUUUGUA